rnacentral:rRNA from 1 species
UACGUAGGGGGCAAGCGUUGUCCGGAAUCAUUGGGCGUAAAGAGCGUGUAGGCGGCCCGAUAAGUCCGCUGUGAAAGUCCAGGGCUCAACCCUGGAAUGCCGGUGGAUACUGUCGGGCUCGAAUCCGGAAGAGGUGAGUGGAAUUCCUGGUGUAGCGGUGAAAUGCGCAGAUAUCAGGAGGAACACCCGUGGCGAAAGCGGCUCUCUGGGCCGAAAUUGACGCUGAGGAGCGAAAGCGUGGGGAGCGAACAGG